CAAUAGCGUAUAUUAAAGUUGUUGCGGUUAAAAAGCUCGUAGUUGGAGUUCUGCCAGGUGACACUCGUCCGCCCAAGUGGUGUGUACAGGGUGUGCAUCUGGCCCUUUCAAGGGGAACGUGUCUGCACUUCAUUGUGUGGUGCGAGAUCCUUGACUUUUACUUUGAGGAAAUAAGAGUGUUCCAAGCAGGCUCUCGUCGUGCAUAGCUCAGCAUGGAAUAAUAGCAUUGGACUUCGUUUCUACGCUGUUGGUUGCAAGAAGCGAGGUAAUGAUGAAGAGGGAUAGUUGGGGGCAUUCGUAUUUAACUGUCAGAGGUGAAAUUCUUGGAUUUGUUAAAGACAGACUACUGCGAAAGCAUCUGCCAGGGAUGUUUUCAUUGA
rnacentral:rRNA from 1 species